rnacentral:rRNA from 1 species
AUGGAAUCUCACAACCGGCUUUUCUCCUAUGUACAAAAUGAAGACCUGUCAUUGGCUCAAUUCCAUUCGGGCCCCAACCCAGCAACCCAUUUCCAGCUGCCACUAUCACUCGAGGCGAGAGAGGAAAUGGAGGAUAUACUAUCAGUAACCAAUAUCAUGACGCUGGAUCACAUGGAGAUAGAUGAAUGGAUCUUGAGUUGGGGAGAUGUGCAAUACAAACCACGUAAGUUCUACAAAUUCCUAUUCAGAAAUGUAAGUGUGACGCGGUAUAUCACCGAAUUAUGGAAGUCAAAAUGCAUCAUGAGACAUAAGGUUUUUGCGUGGCUCAUGCUUCUGGAUCGUGUGAACACUCGAGACAUGCUACUUAGAAGACAUUUUAACAUAGGAGAUGAUCAUGCAUGUCUAUUAUGCAAUUCCACUGAGCUGGAGACUAACAAGCAUCUCUUAUAUGAGUGCUCGUUUGCACAAAGAUGCUGGGAAAUCGUGGCUAUCAAUUGGAACACAACUCUUGAUCUUCAAACAAUGUUUGACUUGGGCAAAGCGGCGUGGCAGAAAUCUCUCUUCAAGGAGGUCACUAUUCUAUCGGCGUGGAACAUAUAA